UCAACAUAUCCAAAGAGCUGAUGUGGUGAAGUGGUUCAGCUGAACACGAAGACUCACAGCUUCAAAUGUCUGGAUUACAGCACAACUUCUUUGCCUGCAGUUACCUUGAAUCUGCUACCCCGAAAUUGGAUGAAAAUCUCAUUAGUAAAGCUAUAAUGAAAUAGCAGCCAAGCCCCUUCAAGCCUCUGUGCUUACGGCCAUUUGCCUGUUGUCUGACUUUUCAUCAGGAACCUGAAAUUACCCAUCAGGAUUGCCA